rnacentral:rRNA from 1 species
AUUGAACGCUGGCGGCAUGCUUUACACAUGCAAGUCGAGCGGCAGCGCGGGACUCAGGCAACUGAGCCCUGGCGGCGAGCGGCGAACGGGUGAGGAAUACAUCGGAACGUGCCCGAGAGUGGGGGAUAACGCCGCGAAAGCGGCGCUAAUACCGCAUAUUCUCUGAGGAGGAAAGUGGGGACCGUGCAAAGGCCUCACGCUCACGGAGCGGCCGAUGUCGGAUUAGCUAGUUGGUGGGGUAAAGGCUUACCAAGGCGACGAUCCGUAGCUGGUCUGAGAGGAUGAUCAGCCACACUGGGACUGAGACACGGCCCAGACUCCUACGGGAGGCAGCAGUGGGAAUUUUGGACAAUGGGGCAACCCUGAUCCAGCCAUGCCGCGUGCGGGAAGAAGGCC